GUGGGCGGGGUGCAAUUCCCCACUGGCGGUAAAUCGGGAGACCGAUAAGUCCGCGACCUGCCAUAUGGCAGCUGAACCGGUGAGAGUCCGGUACCAACAGUAAAGUCUGGAUGAAAGAAGAUG
rnacentral:ncRNA from 1 species